rnacentral:rRNA from 1 species
GACGAACGCUGGCGGCGUGCUUAACACAUGCAAGUCGAACGGAAAGGCCCUGCUUUUGUGGGGUGCUCGAGUGGCGAACGGGUGAGUAACACGUGAGUAACCUGCCCUUGACUUUGGGAUAACUUCAGGAAACUGGGGCUAAUACCGGAUAGGAGCUCCUGCUGCAUGGUGGGGGUUGGAAAGUUUCGGCGGUUGGGGAUGGACUCGCGGCUUAUCAGCUUGUUGGUGGGGUAGUGGCUUACCAAGGCUUUGACGGGUAGCCGGCCUGAGAGGGUGACCGGCGACAAGGGUACUACGGGAGGGAGCAGUGGGGAACGGGGGGCAGCGGGGGGGAAUAUGGCCCAAUGGUCGGAAGUCUGAUGCAACAACGUCGGGUGCGGAAUGCCGGUUUGUUGGUUGAGAACCGCAUCAGCCUGUGACGAAGCGGGAGUGACGGUAAUGGGUAAAGAAGCACCGGCUAACUACGUG